rnacentral:rRNA from 1 species
UACGGGGGGAGCAAGCGUUGUUCGGAUUUACUGGGCGUAAAGGGCGCGUAGGCGGUCAGCACAAGUCAGUUGUGAAAUCUCCGGGCUUAACUCGGAAAGGUCAACUGAUACUGUGCGACUAGAGUGCAGAAGGGGCAACUGGAAUUCUCGGUGUAGCGGUGAAAUGCGUAGAUAUCGAGAGGAACACCUGCGGCGAAGGCGGGUUGCUGGGACGGUACUGACGCUGAGGCGCGAAAGCGUGGGGAGCAAACAGG